AUUAGAUUUGAGGAAAUGGCUGUGGUUUUAUAGGAAGAAGUCCAUAUGCUGAAGUACUCGGGCGGCCGGGUAUCAGGGUGCUUGCUUGCAACUCAGUUACAAAUGAUUCAGAAAAAAAAAAAAAAAAAAAAAAAGGAGUAAACUUACUGGAAGGCUAGCAGUUGGAGAACCAAGGAUGUGCGUAUCCAAAGUUCACCAGGUACUAACUCAGCUCUUCACAGAUGGCACCUUUGUAGUCAAAAGGCUAGGCAAACAGAAUGUGCCCCGUCCACAGACAGCUUACCACAAUCAUAACUUAUCAAAUAGAUUUCCAAGCAUUGUGUUUAGUUGAAGUCAGGAGAGAAGCUUGGCCAGUGGGGACCUUGAAGAAAUCUAAAGAAUGGCUCCUUUUCCCUGGGUCAUUGGUAAUGUGAGAGGAACCCUUCCAAGAUGGACUAUUAUUGGGGCUAGAGGGUGAAAAAAAAUGCAGUUAGCUGGGUGAUGGCGGCACGCACCUUUAAUCCCAGCACUUGGGAGACAGAGGUGAGUGGAUCUAAGACAACCAGGGCUAUACAGAGAAAUCCUCAAAUAAUCAAAAAUAAAAUAAAAAUAGAAAAUAAAGAGACAAAUGCACAGUUUUAAUCAGAAGAAGGCAAGGCAUUUGGGGGCAGGGUGACAAAAAUAAGUUAAAGAAUCGGAGACUACUUGGGGAGCAAAGAUGAGCCCCAUGUAUGUAAAUGUGGUGGAGAAUGUGCUGGGAUGGAAACUUAGGUUGGUGUCUGGGGACAGGUAGCCUUGAAUGCCAGGCGAAUAGUAUUGUGAAGAGGCACAUGGAAGGAUCAACACUCAAUUCCAAGGAAUUUUCUUUGCCAGAAACUCCUGCACAGAUUUCAAAAUCAGCACACAUGAUACCUCUCCAAGGUUUCCCCAGCAUCUACCAGUAGGAUUAUUCGGCUGGGUCUUUUCUGUUUCUGUUCCUGAGCUCAUUCACACUCAUUGCUGAUGUCGCAGGGCAUCCACGAGGACAGUCACAACAGCUGGCUCUGAGCAGGGUUCUGAGAAUUAACUACCACAAUUCCAUUCUCUGAUCCUCUUUGCUUUUCCAUGCCCCCCGCUUGACAACUCAGCUCCCACACUUGCCUCAGGCUCUGCUUUGGACCAACCAUUGGUCACAGGGUUCUUUGCUUCAUGAUAGUUUGCUUUGCUAGUGUCCUGGCUGUAGAGCCACAGGGCUCCAGCACGCUAAAUUUCCUUCGGUUCCUUGAAAAUUCCUUCCCUCUUCCACAGAGGCUUUGUAAUGUGAUACACAUCCCCUCCACCGGUGUCUUUCAAGGGACAGAACAGAAGAUUUCAGUUUGAAUGGAAUUUUUAUCCUUUGGGUAUUCCGUCACAGCAAGACGGGUAACGAGGAGUAAAAGUAACGAGAAAAGGCAGGGUCAGGGAGCAGCUUAUGAAGCAAAAAGCUGUUGAACUAGCCAGAAACCUUGGAGCCUUUGAGAAACAUCACAAACUAAGGACACAGAGGUGGCUUGGAAGGAGCCCAGUAAUGCUCAGGACCCAGUUAGCUGUUUCUAACCAGCAGGACCCAGGCUUCCAGUCUGCAAAGGGGAUAGAGUCAACAACUCCACCUAAGAAGGUAGGAAACAGAUGCAGCUCACAUUUCCACACAAGGUUCCUUUCCCGGUCUCUAGGCUUUUUACAGCCCGACUUUAGUUCUGGGCUGUGUUUCUCUAGCCUUCUUGCCAGGAAUCAAAUGCUGGAACCCAUUUUAUUAGAGUUGGCUCCUGAAGAGGAGGCAUUCGUCCGGCCACUCUCUGAAACACAUCUACAGUCACCAGAGAGGAAAAACGGAAGGUAUCAGCCAUGCAGUAAGUUAGCGUUGAUUGCCUGUAGGGCUUGUCUCCAGGUACUUGCCCUAGAACGGAUGUGACCGUAACCUAGAACUCUGUUGCUAUGAUGGGCUGGACUGUCUAGAAUACCCAUGGACUCUGUGAACCUCCUUUUUUAAAACAAAUGAAUAAGCAAACAACCCCCAAACUCUUUAGGAGCAGCUUCCAAAGAGUUCAAGUUUCGGGUUUCA